UUAGAGUUUUGGACCUGGCUCAGAUUGAACGCUGGCGGAAUGCUUUACACAUGCAAGUCGAACGGCAGCACGGACUUCGGUCUGGUGGCGAGUGGCGAACGGGUGAGUAAUGUAUCGGAACGUGCCCAGUCGUGGGGGAUAACGUAGUGAAAAUUACGCUAAUACCGCAUACGAUCUAUGGAUGAAAGCGGGGGAUCGCAAGACCUCGCGCGAUUGGAGCGGCCGAUAUCAGAUUAGGUAGUUGGUGGGGUAAAGGCCCACCAAGCCAACGAUCUGUAGCUGGUCUGAGAGGACGACCAGCCACACUGGAACUGAGACACGGUCCAGACUCCUACGGGAGGCAGCAGUGGGGAAUUUUGGACAAUGGGCGCAAGCCUGAUCCAGCCAUUCCGCGUGCAGGAUGAAGGCCCUCGGGUUGUAAACUGCUUUUGUACAGAACGAAAAGGUUUCUACUAAUACUAGGAGCUCAUGACGGUACUGUAAGAAUAAGCACCGGCUACUAC
rnacentral:rRNA from 1 species